AACGGGGCCAGCUCCCCAAGGUCCAUGGAUUUAUCUUAAUUCCAAGGCCAGAAUUCAGGCAAAAAGUAGCCAGAUAUGGUAGAACCCACCCAAAGUCGCAGGUAGGAAGCCACAAAAACCAAUCUGCAGCUAAUUGAAUCAGAAAUCUAUGAAAGGUACAGUGCAGACUGAAGAAGAUGACUGAGAGGCUUCAUAAUGAGGAACAGCACCCAAAAUCACGCUGCGGAACAGCUCUCAGAGAACAGCACUGCAGUGACAGAGACGGCACCACUGCAGCACCAGCGCCGGUGCAGGACUGGAUGCUCAUGCACAUCUCAGGCCUCCAGAUGCCCGCGACCUUCUCCCCUUCAGCCUCUUCCAUAACCACACUACUCCUUUCCUCCAUCGGCUUCUCCCCUGACUGCACAGAAGCCCAUUUCCCCACCAUGACGAAAAAAAACCUUUCCCAGAUCUAAGGCAAAGGGAAAAACAUACAAGACAGAAUGUAAAUUUGUGCUGCCAGGGGCUGGGAAAGGAGGGGAUGGGGAGUGACUGAUGAAUGGGUAUGGGCUCUCCUUCCGGAGUGAUCAAAAAGUGUUCUGGAACUAGAGUGGUAAAGAAGGUACGACCUCGUAAAUGUACUAAAUGUCAGUAAUGAUAAAUUGUAUGUUA
rnacentral:lncRNA from 10 species